GACGAACGCUGGCGGCGUGCUUAACACAUGCAAGUCGAACGGAAAGGCCCUGCUUUUGUGGGGUGCUCGAGUGGCGAACGGGUGAGUAACACGUGAGUAACCUGCCCUUGACUUUGGGAUAACUUCAGGAAACUGGGGCUAAUACCGGAUAGGAGCCCCUGCUGCAUGGUGGGGGUUGGAAAGUUUCGGCGGUUGGGGAUGGACUCGCGGCUUAUCAGCUUGUUGGUGGGGUAGUGGCUUACCAAGGCUUUGACGGGUAGCCGGCCUGAGAGGGUGACCGGCCACAUUGGGACUAAGAUACGGCCCAGACUCCUACGGGAGGCAGCAGUGGGGAAUAUUGCACAAUGGGCGGAAGCCUGAUGCAGCAACGCCGCGUGCGGGAUGACGGCCUUCGGGUUGUAAACCGCUUUCGCCUGUGACGAAGCGUGAGUGACGGUAAUGGGUAAAGAAGCACCGGCUAACUACGUG
rnacentral:rRNA from 1 species